AAGAGGAGGGUGAAAGUAAAGUGGCUUUGAAAUAUCUUGGCUUAGUCAGCUCUCUGGAUCUAAGAGGUAGUUUCGGGCUGACUGAAGAGGAAAAGAUAUGAAGGGUAGAUUCAAGAUUCAACUUGCCCCUUAUUUAAAGGAGGAGGAACUGAUGUGGAGAUAGAAAUCAAGAGAGAAGUGGCUGGAGGAAGGGGACCGCAACACAAAGUAUUCCCACGCUUUGGCCGCUCACCGACGCAGAAUUAAUUUCAUAGAGGAGAUUAUUAUAGAUAACAAGAAGAUUGGGGGGAAUUUUGACAUGCGAGAGGCUGUAAAAGAGCAUUUUACAAAUCUGUACUUGGAACCGCAUGUUUGUUGGCCGAAAUUGGAUGGCUUGCCUUUUCUCAGUAUCUCUGCAGAGAGCAGACAACGCCUGAAAGAAGACUUUACAGCUGAUGAGAUUCUUGAGGGGCUAAAAUCCUGUGAUGGUAAUAAAGCAUUGGGUCCCGAUGGUUUUAACAUGAUUUUUUUAUAGAGUUUCUGACAUUUGCUUAAAGAGGAUAUAUUGGCUGUUUUCAAUGAUCUGCACAAAAAGGUAAGGUCUUAUGGAACAGAGGGGAGGAAGAAGGAUGGUUUGGAAAUUCCACCGAGUAAGAAGAUGUAUGAAUACAUUCUAUUUCGUGGAAGUGACAUUAAGUAUUUAGGCAUAUGAUAUUGAUGUCCUACUGCCAAGGUUCCAUUUCCCAUUAAUAGGGAUUUGCAAGUGAAGACCUCCCCGCCUGCCCAACUAGAGGAACGGGUUUAUGAUGAUCCUGCCGUCAUUCAGUUUGGUGCUAGAAGCUUGAUGGAGACAAUGCAGUGGCAGGAUACACCUCCUGUGGCCAGUCUAACUUUACCACGGUUUACCUCAUUCUUAUCAAUCUCAAGAUUGCCAAAGAUAAAUGUUUGUUCAUCCCAUUCCACACCAUUCCAUCAGCUAAGUGAAAUGAAAAACUGAUCAGUAUUUUUCAUGCUCUGCAGAAGCCUAUUCCUUUUCUAUCCACAUUAAUUGUAUCAUCUCCAAUGACAAUGCAGAAUUUUAAGCAAAUGCCUGACAUAAAUGCUUCACCAGUUAUGGGAUUAACAGAUGCCUCUGGAUGUGUUCCCCCUUUAUCUUCUAUUGCAUCUCCUUCUAUGUGCCCUAAGUUUACACCUGCUAUUGCUCAAGGACAGUAUUCUGCUUCUGAUGUUUCAUUCUCUCAAUCCAUGGAGGCAUCGGUGCCAUCUCAUGCAUCUCACAUCGGUGAUGAAAGUCUACCUUCAUCAUUGUUUCUUUCAAAGAACACAGUUGAUGCUCAGUUUGUUAGUAAAACUAUCUCUGACCACCAUACUUCCAACCCUGAAUCAGUUUGUCAAGCUCCAUCAAUGCUUUAUAAUGGGUCAUCUUCUGCGAGUGCUGUUUCAGGCCCAUUGUUAACUACAACCACAUAUUUUUUAGCUCCGCCACAGUUUAAUGUUAACUCCUGAUCAACUAGUG